CGAAAUUCUCUAAAAACAUAUGAUUGGUGACCACUUCAAUGUCAAAAUUGACAUUAAUUCUAACCCACAAAAGUGCAAUUGAAUAAAUCAAAUUAACACAAUGGUGAGAGGUUUUUUCUUAAACUUCAGGUAACUUUCAUUAUUGGUGUAUAUGCAGGAAUAUACAUGUCCCAAAACUACGAUGUGCCCAGAGUUGAUGACCCUCAGGCCUUGUUUGAAAAGAUCAAGGAUUUCGCCGACAAACAUAAAAAGAAUUAAAACAGUACCCAGUUGUGUAAUUUUAUUCCAAUAAAUAAAUACAUAUUAGAUUUAA